rnacentral:rRNA from 1 species
UACGUAGGGUGCAGGCGUUAAUCGGAAUUACUGGGCGUAAAGCGUGCGCAGGCGGUUUGCUAAGGCAGGUGUGAAAUCCCCGGGCUUAACCUGGGAACUGCGCUUGUUACUGGCAAGCUUGAGUGUGGCAGAGGGGGGUGGAAUUCCACGUGUAGCAGUGAAAUGCGUAGAGAUGUGGAGGAACACCGAUGGCGAAGGCAGCCCCCUGGGCUAACACUGACGCUCAUGCACGAAAGCGUGGGGAGCAAACAGG